CUUUGUUCCAAGCUGUUGGGGAAUGGUAGAGACAGCAAGACAUAGGUCAGCACUGUAUGGCAGUUUGAAGAAAGAACAGGGCAGAGCAAGAGAAUCCAAUUUUAGGAGCAUGCUUAUUGUGAUAUCCUCAGUGAUUUCUUUUACAAUACAUUCUGCUCAGGCCUGUGAACUUUGUUAAACUGUCCAGUAAAAGGAAAAUUUUAAAAUGAAAUGGCAACUGAAGAAGUUGAAUAUACCAGAAUUCAGCGAAGGUAAUACAGUGGUCUUAAAUAUUUUUCUAGUAUCUGUUAAAGAAUGAAAGUUCAUGGCAAGAGCAGUUGAAGCAGUUUAGCUUUAAAGCAAUUUCUUUCCCUAAGAGAGCCUAAAAUAUCAUUUUGCAAAUAUAUAUUAAACUUUUUCUCUGAUUACUUUCUGUUGAGAAUAUUGCAGUUUGGGUAGCCUUUAUACUUUUUGCUUCUAUGAAGCUUUAGACUAAACUGGAAGAGGAAUAUAUAAGUUGCUCUUUUGUUGUGUCUGAUAGACAAUAUAGCACAUAUUUAGUGGUGUAUAACUAAAAUGCAGUGAUCAGUUCUUUUUGGAACAUUGAAUAUCUCUUCUGUUUACCAAAAAAAAAAAAAAAAAAAUCUGAGAAGCAAUCUUACAGCAUUUAUUAGAAUCAUUCAACACAGUAUCUAUGCAGCCUGUAUCCAUACUUUUGGUACUAAGAUAAAUAUUUUAGUUUGAGAGCAUAUCUGAUAUAUUCUAACUCUUCAGCAUCAGUAGAAAAUAAUUGCAAAGAUGUCAUUCUUUCUGAAUGCAGAAAUGUUAUAUAUAAAAUGAAAGCAAGUUUAAAACAUACUCUUCUAGAAAGUAAAUUAUGAAAAUUAUUUCUGUUAUGCAGUGAAGGUACACUAGACCUUACAAGAUUUAAUCCACUAAAAUUUUUAAAAAGCACAGUGGUCAUUUACUGAUAUUCAGCUGCUGUUACUGAACUAGAAAUAUAUGUUGCAAUCUGCAAGAAAAUGAAGUGUGGGCCUGAUUCAAAAGCUCCGUUAUUGGCAAAACUCAUUCUCCUGAAAGGGGUUUUGUCCAACUAGCAAUGGCAGAAUCAGGCCUUCAGUGGGAACUAAUGGAAGGCAGUCAUUAAAAUCUUGUUCAGGUACAGAUUUCAGUAAACUGCUAAAAUCAUAAGAGACCUUUCUGCAGCA
rnacentral:lncRNA from 1 species